rnacentral:rRNA from 1 species
CGAUACGAGUUUGAUCAUGGCCUCAGGAUGAACGCUAGCGGCAGGCCUAAUACAUGCAAGUCGAAGGGGAUAGCAAUAUCACCGGCGGACGGGUGCGUAACGCGUACACAACGUGCCCAAGGGCGGAGGAAAGCGGCGGGAAACUGCCGGUAAUACUCCAUGGUGUUGUUGAGUGGCAUCACUUAACAACUAAAGUACAAGCGCCCUUGGAUCGGUGUGCGUUCGAUUAGCUAGUUGGCGGGGUAACGGCCCACCAAGGCUUCGAUCGAUAGGGGGUGUGAGAGCAUGACCCCCCACACGGGUACUGAGACACGGACCCGACUCCUACGGGAGGCAGCAGUAAGGAAUAUUGGACAAUGGGCGGAAGCCUGAUCCAGCCAUGCCGCGUGAAGGACGAAGGCGCUCAGCGUUGUAAACUUCUUUUGGAUGGGAACAAUAACUCCGACUUGUCGGAACUUGAGGGUACCAUCAGAAUAAGCACCGGCUAACUCCGUG